UACGAAGGGGGCUAGCGUUGUUCGGAAUUACUGGGCGUAAAGCGCACGUAGGCGGAUCGAUCAGUCAGGGGUGAAAUCCCGGGGCUCAACCUCGGAACUGCCUUUGAUACAGCAAGUCUUGAGUUCGAGAGAGGUGGGUGGAAUUCCUAGUGUAGAGGUGAAAUUCGUAGAUAUUAGGAAGAACACCGGUGGCGAAGGCGGCCCACUGGCUCGACACUGACGCUGAGGUGCGAAAGCGUGGGGAGCAAACAGG
rnacentral:rRNA from 1 species